UUAAACUGAAGAGUUUGAUCAUGGCUCAGAUUGAACGCUGGCGGCAGGCUUAACACAUGCAAGUCGAGCGGUAACAUUUCUAGCUUGCUAGAAGAUGACGAGCGGCGGACGGGUGAGUAACGCGUAGGAAUCUGCCUAGUAGUGGG
rnacentral:rRNA from 1 species